rnacentral:miRNA from 1 species
AGGAAACAGGCACCAA